CACAUUUCUACCACAUUGGAGAGUACAAAAUCGCAUGUUGAAUAUUGACCAGAAGACACUGACAAUAAGAAUGGUUUUAUACAAUAUGGCAUUAGAGCAGAUCACUCAAGGCAUGCGCAGACAAUAAUUCACAUUUCUACCACAUUGGAGAGUACAAAAUCACAUGUUGAAUAUUGACCGGAAGACACUGACAAUCAGAAUGGUUUUAUGCAAUAUGGCAUUAGAGCAGAUCACUCAAGGCAUGCGCAGACAAUAAUUCACAUUUCUACCACUUUGGAGAGUACAAAAUCACAUGUUGAAUAUUGACCAGAAGACACUGACAAU
rnacentral:lncRNA from 1 species